UAAAAAUGAAUUUCCGUCUGUCUGUCUGUCUGUCUGUCUGUCUGACCGCUAUGGAUUCGGAAACUACUGAACCGAUCGGCUUCAAAUUUUGUAUGCAGGGGGGUUUGGGACCGGGGAAGGUUCUUAGCCUGGUGUAAGACCUCUCCGGUCUUAGGAACAGGGGGCUCCCAUACAGAUGACUUCACGGGGGACGUCCCUAUGGAGCUGCAUGCCAAAAAACACAGUAGGCAGGCAGUGCGACGUUUGACGGGACAGGUAGCGCCGGUAGCGUGAAAAAAAAUGGUAGUGUUUGAAACCUGCAUUAUACAUCUCGGAACCAUUUAAAUUGCUAGCUUUUUUGACUCCGGGUAUCAGCGCAAAAUCGGAUUAAGGACGUAGCAAUGACGACGGACAGAAUCAGUCAGCGUCCUAAAGCUAUCCAGGGCAAUUGUGAUACUAAUGGUGAUUGCAACAAUAAUUAAAUGAAUACAUUUAUCUUCUCAGAAUACUUCACGAGAUGACAUCUUCAAUGAUGUCAGAACCCCAGAACCGAGGUCAGAACAGCAUCAAAUUUCGCCGUUUCUGUUCGAAGCAGCAAAGCAUAGGAGGUAUUAGUAAACACGAACCUGAAACCCUACGAAAUUGAAUGGAUUCUUGAGGAUCUGCCGGAUUUAAGAUUGGAGUAACAUUGUUGGCCUCCUACUGUUGGUGCACGAGUCUUUGGAAAACGAAUUUAAAACCAAAAUACAUUUUAUAGAGGAACUUA